rnacentral:lncRNA from 1 species
AAAUCUCAGGAAAGGGCAUGGACUGGGAGUCGGAAGACCUGGAUCCAGUCCUAGGCUGCUGCUUCUUGCUGGCCAGUGUCUUGGUGGAAGCAAAGACAGAGAGGGCACCUGGAGAAUGGUUGCCAGAGUGAAAUUCCCCAGACAAUAGAGAUAAUUUGGAACUGUUUAAAGAACAAGGGAAGGGAGCCAACUCCUUCCCCGUCUGCCGUUUUGUACUCUUGGCCUAACGUUGACUCAAAACAGCAACUUGGAGCCUUCCCUGACCUGUUGGAAAAAAUAGAAAGUAGAAAAUUAAAUUCAUUAGCUCCAAUUACUAAAUGAUUCAUCUGGCUGGCUAAUGAAGCUGAGCAUUAUGCUAACAAGAUAAAGGCAAGAAUAACAUGUGGGGGUGUGCGGCUGCAGGCACGCUGGGCCUGUUCUACUGGAAACGCAAGGCUGAGGAGCUCUGUGCCUUGAGAUGGAUGGCAAGGAAAUCAAAAAGGUGUUUUAAUCCUGAGGAAGAGUGUGAGUCUGGGAAAAUUUUGGAUCACCGAGGUGCAGCCAUACCUUCCACAGCCAUCACUGUUGCUUACAACUCACAUGCCAAGAAUUGCAAGAUGAAGAUGGUGAUCAGGAGGCAUGACUUGGAACUACUUGGUUAGUGUAAAGCAGAGAGGAGAAUUAGGAGAGGCAGAUGGCAGAGAGGUCUGCCAUGGAAGAUUCAUGGAUGACAGGAGAGGCUGUGUUCCAGAAGGCAAGGAAGAAGAGCCCAAGGACCGUAGCAAGGCCCUGAUUCUGGGAGACGAGAGAACACGCUGACUUAGAAUGCUUGUCUCUGCAUCCUGGUCAGAAAGUAGAUGGACGACACUUUCAUCUCCGACUGGAUUUUGGUGAGAGAUGGGCAAACCCCGGGCUCUAGGCUGGAGCAGCAGCUCUUGUAUCCACACAAAAUCAGGACUGGUGGAGGGAGCCAUCUUCAAACAUAAAUUUGGGUCUUUUGGCAAUGCACUCCUUGGGUUUGGAAGCUUCCCUCCAAGAUGCUGAGCCCAAUGUUUGGGGAAAGCCAGGGAAACAGAUGCUGGGUCAGUGCUGCUCCCACCUCCUCUGCUCCCCUCCUGAGGGCUCCACUGAGUCACCAGCCAGCAAACAGCCCAUGCGCCCUGGAGCAGAUGGACUGUGGGUACACGAGCCUCUGAACUCUUGGGCAGCAUGGGCACAACAUCCUUUUGGCCUCACCCAAUGACCUGGCUGUGGUGUCAUUAAGGAAGUGGAAAGACAAUCCAUAGAAUGGGAAAAAUAUUUGCAAAUAAUAUAUCUGAUAAGGGACUCGUAUACAGAAAAUAUAAAAACUGUACAACUCAUGAGGCCAGAGGAGCUCCGUGCUGCUAGGAGAUCCAGGCAGAAACAUCCAGGAGUGGAAGCUCAGCCCAGCGGCUGGGAGGCUGUGGCACCUCCUGUCCACAUGGCAGGCCAGGCCGAGGUGGGCUGGCUACACAGUGGGGCUCCCCCUCUCUGAUAAGGGCUCCUGAUCUCCUGGUAUUCGGUGCUGCCAGGAACUCCCAGGAUGGAAGGUCCCUGAUGGUCCUGGACCACUGAUUUGAGGCCUUUCUGCUUCCUUUGAUUCAGUCUUUGGCAGAGACCCAGGAGCAGGAGUCCUUGAUGGCACCUGGCCCUUUCUAGUCACCGACAAGGGAAACCUGAGAAACCAUUCUCAGAAAUGGAACUAAAUUGAAGAAUAAAACUUGGGAUAUUUUAAAGAUACUGACAUAGAAAUAGAGGAAAAUGGAUAUAAUUUAAUAAAACUUUGGAAUCUGAACAGCAUCCAAGCCUGCCUUCGAAAUGGGAUCAUCACCUCUCCUCUUCCUGCCUUUCCUUUCCCCAUCUGACACAGCAUUUGUCUCCUCCAGAGGAUACAGCACCAAGGCGCCAUCUUGGAAGUAGACUGGAGCUCUUAGCAGACCAGAACCUGUGGGUGUGUUGAUCUUGUACUUCCUGACCUCCAGAACUGUGAGAAAUGCAUUUCUGUUGUUUAUAAGUUGCCCAGUCUCAGGUAUUUUGUUACAGCAUCACAAACAGACUAAGACAAUCUCCUAGAGGAGAAAUCCUCUCUUCCACUACAUGCAUUGUGUCUGUGUAUGGUAGCUGGAGCUGGAGCAGCCACGCUGCAACCCAGGGGCCAGCCAAGGGCAAGGCUGAGAGUGUUAUCACUGAUGUGUCAGGUGGUUCUUUGUUGUUUUGAGAAAGAACUUUAAUUGAGAUAAUUUAUGUAACAUAAAAUUUACUGUUUUACAGUGUACAAGUUUCACACCUGAGCAGCAUCGAAGGGGCCACUGAAGUUGCCAGACUCAUCAACAAAGGCCCACUUGUUCCUUGGGAUUUGUGUCUUGAUGCAUUCUCAAAGAGAGGUUUCCAGGGCACCAGUCACCUGCAGCUCACCUGAAGAUGGCACAUGGCAUGUCGCUGUGCCCCCCUCCCCAUCCAUGUGCUCUACCUGGCAACUUGUUUCUCCCCACCUGAAAGUUGACCUGAGAUGAAACUUGCUAAGGCAGAAAGCUGGAUUUGGCCCAGCGCAGGGAUAGUCUGCCAAUCUCUGGCUGAGGGUUUGAAAUGGAACCAUCUUCUAUGACUGCAGGUAGAUUUUCCCUUGUCGGUUGGCUUCCUCCUAAGACGAUGUUGCUGGAUGUCCCCUGCUUUGGUUUUUCACCUGUGGCUUAAACGGAUAGGGGAUCGAACGGAUGCUUGAAAAUAAAUGGCACCUGUGGAGAAAGUGCCCCAUCCCUGAUUAUGUCAUCGGAGCCUCUGGUCCCCACCAUAUUAUGAAUAUUCAGUGAAACAACGUGUGUGCUCACCAGGCAGGAAGAGCUCAGCAAAUGGUGGCUGGUCUGGAAAUUAUUGUCAUCACUAUAAUCCUCAUCGACAUCCUCAGCCUUAUUGUCAUCAUCAUCAACCUCAUCAGUGUCAUCAUCAGCCUCAUCAACGUCAUCAUCAGCCUCAUCACUGUCAUCAUCAGCCCUUUGUCAUCAUCAUCAUCCACCUUGCUGUUCUCUUCCUUGUUGACAUCAUUAUCCUCAUCCUCCUCAUCACCAUCAACAGCAUUAUUUUUAUUUUUUAUUCUUCCACCUGUAAGAGUUUCUUUUCCUCCCUCUUAUUGUUUUCCUCUUGGGAUGACUAGUGGUGAAGGAAGUGUCAGAGGCAAUGACCUCACAGCUGUCGUUGCCAUGGGUGACACCUCCCAGAAAGAGCUUAUUGGAACUUUCAGUCCAGGGGAGUUUCUGCUGUUCCAGGAUGGAGGAAAUGUUCAAGAACUGUGGAGCAUCUGAGAUUUUUUUCCUACUUUUGAUGUCCACCUAGUCAAAGUU